rnacentral:rRNA from 1 species
AAUAGGAGGGGGAUACCAGUUGGAAACGACUGUUAAUACCCGCAUAAUGUCUACGGACCAAAGUGUGGGACCUUCGGGCCACAUGCUAUCGGAUGCGCCUACGUGGGAUUAGCUAGUUGGUGAGGUAAUGGCUCACCAAGGCGACGAUCUCUAGCUGGUUUGAGAGGAUGAUCAGCCACACUGGAACUGAGACACGGUCCAGACUCCUACGGGGAGGCAGCAGGUGGGGAAUAUUGGACAAUGGGCGCAAGCCUGAUCCAGCCAUGCCGCGUGUGUGAAGAAGGCCGUUAGGGUUGUAAAGCUACUUUCAGCGAGGAGGAAGGGGUUGUAGUUAAUAGCUGCAAUCUUUGACGUUACUCGCAGAAGAAGCACCGGCUAACUCUGUG